CCAAUCAUCCUAGCCUGUUAUCUGUGAUAAAGCACACUGAAGUUAGGUUUGGAAUGCAUCCUUAUCAUGAAUGCUCUACACCUCCACCUCCAUCUCCCACAACCUAGGUAACAGCUUUGAGACUCACUAAAAGUUGAAUCCCCUGAAUGAUGUAGGCUAUGGGGCCACAUAAGACUUUGUCCAUCCAGGGUUACGAUGAAUGUCAAAUAUAAACUAAAGAACCAACAUUUUUCACACAACUCCAGGUUGUUACUACAAGUGUCAUCAAGGGAUAACUACUACAAGUAGAAGCACCAUUUUUGGAUGGAAAAAACCCUUCAGGAAAGUAUACGUAUCACAUGUAACAUGUAGUGUAACAAAGUAUGAACAGUAAGGUUUUUACAUACAGUAGUACAUAUUACAUACGUACAUAACUUUUUUUUUA